rnacentral:piRNA from 1 species
UUUUAGAGUGUCUUCUUCUCAUUCAUGGG